GGUGAACGCUGACAGAAUGCUUAACACAUGCAAGUCAACUUGAACUUCGGUUUGGGUGGCGGACGGGUGAGUAACGCGUAAAGAACUUGCCUCACAGCUAGGGACAACAUUUGGAAACGAAUGCUAAUACCUGAUAUUAUGAUUAUAUGGCAUCGUAUAAUUAUGAAAGCUAUAUGCGCUGUGAGAGAGCUUUGCGUCCCAUUAGCUAGUUGGAGAGGUAACAGCUCACCAAGGCGAUGAUGGGUAGCCGGCCUGAGAGGGUGAUCGGCCACAAGGGGACUGAGACACGGCCCUUACUCCUACGGGAGGCAGCAGUGGGGAAUAUUGGACAAUGGACCGAGAGUCUGAUCCAGCAAUUCUGUGUGCACGAUGAAGUUUUUCGGAAUGUAAAGUGCUUUCAGUUGGGAAGAAAAAAAUGACGGUACCAACAGAAGAAGAGACGGCUAAAUACGUG
rnacentral:rRNA from 1 species